rnacentral:rRNA from 1 species
AAUCAAGCGCGAGAAGGGCGUUUGGUGGAUGCCUUGGCAGCAAGAGGCGAUGAAGGACGUGGUACUCUGCGAUAAGCUAGGGGGAGCCGAGAACAGGCUUUGAUCCCUAGAUCUCCGAAUGGGGAAACCCACCUGACAGUUUGUUAUUGUUACUCCGGUAAUCAAUAACGGGCUGAGACAGGUACUUUUACCCUGAAUCCAUAGGGGUUUAAGAGCGAACCCGGGGAACUGAAACAUCUAAGUACCCGGAGGAAAGGAAAUCAAUAGAGACUCCGUUAGUAGUGGCGAGCGAACGCGGACCAGCCGAGCCCAGAGAAUGACCAGAAUGAUCUGGAAAGAUCAGCCAGAGCGGGUGACAGCCCCGUAUGGGAAGUUCGAAGGGACGUAUUAAGUAGGGCGGGACACGUGAAAUCCUGUCUGAAGAUCGGGGGACCACCCCCGAAGGCUAAGUACUCCUUGCUGACCGAUAGCGAACC